rnacentral:rRNA from 1 species
GCGGACGGGUGAGUAAUGCUUGGGAACUUGCCUUUGCGAGGGGGAUAACAGUUGGAAACGACUGCUAAUACCGCAUAAUGUCUUCGGACCAAACGGGGCUUAGGCUCCGGCGCAAAGAGAGGCCCAAGUGAGAUUAGCUAGUUGGUAAGGUAACGGCUUACCAAGGCGACGAUCUCUAGCUGUUCUGAGAGGAAGAUCAGCCACACUGGGACUGAGACACGGCCCAGACUCCUACGGGAGGCAGCAGUGGGGAAUAUUGCACAAUGGGGGAAACCCUGAUGCAGCCAUGCCGCGUGUGUGAAGAAGGCCUGCGGGUUGUAAAGCACUUU